GCGCCCAUAGCUCAGCUGGUAGAGCACUCGACUCUUAAUCGAAUGGUCGGAGGUUCGAUCCCUCCUGGGCGCA
rnacentral:tRNA from 2 species